rnacentral:rRNA from 1 species
CCUACGGGAGGCUGCAGUGGGGAAUAUUGGACAAUGGGCGAAAGCCUGAUCCAGCCAUGCCGCGUGUGUGAAGAAGGCCUUCGGGUUGUAAAGCACUUUCAGUGGGGAAGAAAGCCUUGGGGCUAAUACCCUCGAGGAAGGACAUCACCCACAGAAGAAGCACCGGCUAACUCCGUGCCAGCAGCCGCGGUAAUACGGAGGGUGCGAGCGUUAAUCGGAAUUACUGGGCGUAAAGCGCGGCGUAGGCGGUCUGAUAAGCCGGUUGUGAAAGCCCCGGGCUCAACCUGGGAACGGCAUCCGGAACUGUCAGGCUAGAGUGCAGGAGAGGAAGGUAGAAUUCCCGGUGUAGCGGUGAAAUGCGUAGAGAUCGGGAGGAAUACCAGUGGCGAAGGCGGCCUUCUGGACUGACACUGACGCUGAGGUGCGAAAGCGUGGGUAGCAAACAGGAUUAGAUACCCGAGUAGUC